rnacentral:rRNA from 1 species
UACAACGUAGCGUUAAUGCACUAGAUCCCAUUAGAAGUUCAUAGUUAAGUGUGCUUAUGCUAGAGUAGUACUAGGAUGGGUGACCUCUUGGGAAGUCCUAGUGUUUUAC